GAUGAACGCUGGCGGCGUGCUUAACACAUGCAAGUCGAACGGAAAGGCCCAAGCUUGCUUGGGUACUCGAGUGGCGAACGGGUGAGUAACACGUGGGUGAUCUGCCCUUCACUUCGGGAUAAGUCUGGGAAACUGGGUCUAAUACCGGAUAGGACGAUGGUUUGGAUGCCGUUGUGGGAAGAUUUUUCGGUGUGGGAUGAGCUCGCGGCCUAUCAGCUUGUUGGUGGGGUGAUGGCGUACCACGGCGUCGACGGGUAGCCGGCCGGAGAGGGUGUACGGCCACAUUGGGACGGAGAUACGGCGCAGAAUACUACGAGAGGCAGCAGUGGGGGAGAUUACACAAUAGGGGCAAGCAUGAUGAAGCGACGACGCGUGGGGGAUGACGGCGUUCGGGGGGUAGAAAACUGUCGCUAGGGACGAAGCGGUUUUGUGAAGGUAAAUGGAUAAGGAGCACCGGCUAAAUAAGUG
rnacentral:rRNA from 1 species